rnacentral:rRNA from 1 species
GAACGCUGGCGGCGUGCCUAAUACAUGCAAGUCGAACGGAAUUUAAGAGGGCUUGCUCUUUUAAAUUUAGUGGCGCACGGGUGAGUAAUAUAUAGCUAAUCUGCCCCUUGCUGGAGGACAACAGUUAGAAAUGACUGCUAAUACUCCAUACUCCUUUUUACCAUAAGAUAAAUCGGGAAAGAAUUUCGGCAAGGGAUGAGACUAUAUCGUAUCAGCUAGUCGGUGGGGUAACGGCCUACCGAGGCUAUGACGCGUAACUGGUCUGAGAGGAUGAUCAGUCACAUUGGAACUGAGACACGGUCCAAACUCCUACGGGAGGCAGCAGUAGGGAAUAUUGCGCAAUGGGGGAAACCCUGACGCAGCAACGCCGCGUGGAGGAUGACACUUUUCGGAGCGUAAACUCCUUUUGUUAGGGAAGAAUAAUGACGGUACCUAAC